rnacentral:rRNA from 1 species
UAAAAACCCCGACUUCGGAAGGGGUGUAUUUAUUAGAUACAAAACCAAUGCCCUUCGGGGCUCUUUGGUGAUUCAUGAUAACUAUACGAAUCGCACGGCCUUGCGCCGGCGAUGGUUCAUUCAAAUUUCUUCCCUAUCAACUUUCGAUGUUUGGGUAUUGGCCAAACAUGGUUGCAACGGGUAACGGAGGGUUAGGGCUCGACCCCGGAGAAGGAGCCUGAGAAACGGCUACUACAUCCAAGGAAGGCAGCAGGCGCGCAAAUUACCCAAUCCCGACUCGGGGAGGUAGUGACAAUAAAUACUGAUACAGGGCCCUUUCGGGCCUUGUAAUUGGAAUGAGUACAAUUUAAAUCCCUUAACGAGGAACAAUUGGAGGGCAAGUCUGGUGCCAGCAGCCGCGGUAAUUCCAGCUCCAAUAGCGUAUAUUAAAGUUGUUGUGGUUAAAAAGCUCGUAGUUGAACCUUGGGCCUGGCUGGCCGGUCCGCCUCACCGCGUGCACUGGUCCGGCCGGGCCUCUCCCUCUGUGGAACCCCAUACCCUUCACUGGGCGUGGCGGGGAAACAGGACAUUUACUUU